rnacentral:RNase_P_RNA from 1 species
GCUGCGGCGAGGAAAGUCCGGGCAUCACAGGGCAGGAUAGCUGCUAACAGCAGCCGGAGGCGACUCUAGGGCGAGUGCAACAGAAAGAAACCGCCGUAUUUACGGUAAGGAUGGAAAGGCGAGGUAAGAGCUCACCAGCGUGCGGGGAACUGUACGGCUAUGUAAACCCUAUCCGAUGCAACACCGACAAGGAUGGAUUCGUUGGCCCGACGGUCCUGAAAGGUGGCACUGAGCACAUUGCGGCGACGCUGUGCCAAGAUAGAUUACCACAAAAACAGAACCCGGCUUAUAGGUUUGGUCG